CACCACACAAACCAACGCACGAGAACCAGAAGCCUCUCCGCCACAUGGUUAAAGGUCACCGAGAAGCCGUCACUCCAAAUGGAGCAGAACCACCGCCGUCCUCCACCACUGCUUCUCACCCGCCAUGGCGGUGGCCGCCUCCGCGAACCACCACCUCCUCCUCCUGCGGCUCCAUCCUCGCCGUGUCCCGAGUCCCAGGACUCCCCUCCUUCGUCGGAACCUUAUUCCCGCCCUCUCCACCGCCUCCCGCCGCGACCUCGCUCCGGGAAUCCGGUCGUCCUUCGCGGCCGCUGACGAGGCCUCGCCCAAUAGCCCGCCGUUGGUGGAGCAGCCUGGGGGGAAGAUGGUGGUGGAGUUGGUGGGCGCCUUCAACGAACUGACGGGUAGGAUGGGCGGCGUUCUCUCCACCACCUCCUCGUCUCGGUUGCUCUUCAAGACUCUGAAGCUAUCCAUUCCCCUGCUCCAGGCUCUGCCGCUCGCUCCCGACGGACGCCCGCCGCUCUCCCGUGCUCUCUCUGUUGCUUGCCUUCUCGCUGAUCUCCAGAUGGAUGCAGAAGUUAUUUCUGCCGGCAUGCUGAAGGAAGCUUUGGAGGCAGGUGCUAUCACCUUGCAUGAAGUCAAAAGCGAAAUCAGUGUUAGUACUGCCCAUUUGUUGCACGAGAGCAUGCGCAUAAUGCAUGUUCCUUCUAAAGUUGAGAUAUUAGAUGACGAAAGUGCCAGUGCACUGAGGAGAUAUUGUUUAACCUACUAUGACAUCCGUGCAUUGAGUCUAGAGCUUGCUGUCAAACUUGAUAUGAUGAGGCAUCUUGAUUACCUCCCAAGAUACCGCCAACAGAUUAAGUCUCUGGAGGUACUGAAGAUAUAUGCUCCAUUAGCCCAUGCAGUUGGAACAGGUUCUUUGUCGCUGGAGCUUGAGGACCUCUCCUUCCAAUAUUUGUUUCCCUAUUCCUACCUAUACGUUGAUACAUGGUUGAGAAGUUAUGAGACAGAGAUCAGACCCCUACUGGAAGUGUACAAGGAGCAGUUGCUGCAGGUACUAAAAGCUGACAGUGAAUUGGAAAUGAUGGUGGAUAGCAUUUCAAUCCGUGGUCGAUACAAGAGUCGUUUCAGCACCAUGAAGAAACUGUUGAGGGAUGGACGCAAACCAGAAGAAGUGAAUGAUCUCUUGGGUUUGCGGGUCAUCUUAAAUCCUCGACCUGGUGAUGACAUGCCAGAGAGGGGUGAAAGAGCCUGUUAUAGGACACAUGAGAUUAUCCAAACUCUGUGGAAAGAAGUACCCAGCAGGACAUAGGAUUAUAUUACCAGGCCCAAGAAAAAUGGUUAUAGAAGCUUACAUGUUGCUGUUGAUGUCAGUGAAGAAGGAAGGGUGAGGCCACUGAUGGAGAUACAGAUACGUACUAAAGAGAUGGACUCUUUGGCUUCUGGUGGAGCUGCUUCUCAUUCUCUGUACAAAGGUGGUCUUACAGAUCCAAGUGAGGCAAAACGGUUGAAAGCAAUCAUGAUGGCUGCAGCCGAACUUGCAGCUCUGCGUCUUAGAGAUCUCCCAUCUGCAAAUCAUAGAGGGGGACUCGAUAUUGACCACAGAAAUCGAAUUUUUCGCCUUCUUGAUAAAAAUGGUGAUGGGAGAAUCAGUAUUGAGGAACUUACUGAAGUGAUGGAAGAGCUUGGUGCUGGAAGUAAAGAUGCUCAGGAGCUCAUGCAACUUCUUGAUUCAAAUUGUGAUGGUUCUUUGAGCUCUGAAGAGUUUGAUCUGUUUCAGAGACAGGUUCAAUUUAUGAGGAAUAUGGAGGAAACAGAUGAUCACUACAGAACCAUGCUGGGAGAGAAGCUUCAUAUGAGUGACAGUACUGGCUUAAUUCAGGUUUACCGCAAGGAGUUAGGUGACAAAUUAGCAGUGAGCUAAAUUCAUUUAAAUAUAAACUAUCAGGUGAUCAAACUUACAUACAAAAAUGUAAAUAUUUUUUCAUAGUGUUUUAAUUCUCUUCAUGAAAAUGUCCAUCUGUCUAUCUGUUGUAUUAUCUUUUUUUUUGCCCUCAAUACUUCAUCUGGCCAUUUAGCAUCUUCUGUAAUUACCAAAUUGGAAAUUGCUUCCUUCCUGAGAUUUGCCAUGCAAUUUGACCAAUUUGAUAUCUAAUGAACACUCCAUGAGAUUUUGUUGUU